UACGUAGGGUGCAGGCGUUACUCGGAAUUACUGGGCGUAAAGCGUGCGCAGGCGGUCUUUUAAGUCAGAUGUGAAAUCCCCGGGCUUAACCUGGGAACUGCGUUUGAAACUGGAAGGCUAGAGUGUGGCAGAGGGGGGUGGAAUUCCACGUGUAGCAGUGAAAUGCGUAGAUAUGCGGAGGAACACCGAUGGCGAAGGCAAUCCCCUGGACCUGUACUGACGCUCAUGCACGAAAGCGUGGGGAGCAAACAGG
rnacentral:rRNA from 1 species